GAUGCGCAUACCUGCUGUCUCGCUGAUGGGAGUAGACACGACCUCCGAAUGUGACACCAGAGCCUGCUGGAAAAGGGAAAUUUAAAUCUGCAAUUACACCAGUGAAAUCCAGUGAAAUAUGCAAUGAGUUUUGUGUUUAUAUAGGUCAUGCGUCCUCCAUGGCGCAGAUAGAAAGCGAUCAAUCCGUUCGGGCACUGCGAGGUCAACGCAGUGUAAACACAGCACACGGCACGAUUUAUGGCGUUUGCUGAGGCUACAACCAGAGAGUCAAAUGAAUUGCGCAGGCCUGUUAAAAGGACCACAUCGCACUUGAGAAUUCGUACCGCAGGGUUUCUCACUUGUUGACAGUAGUUACCUGUGCCCUGGCAGACCCUUGGCCCUGGGAUAAAAUGGCUUCUAUCAUGGGCCAGACACAUAAAUAUUUCCCUUUCUAUUUUCCAAAAUAGCUUUUAAUUUAACAAGUUUUAUGGCUCUAAUAUUAAGUGCAUGUGUUUUACAAGACACUGUGUCCUCUGAGUCACCCCUUGGUUUUCGGCUGCUUUUUUACCUUAUGGAGAAGAGGAAAAGAGGGGGGGAUGUUUGACUGGGCCUCUACCAGACACUCCCCCAUGCUCCCCUUGGCCUGGGCCUCUCCUUCUGAGGGACGGCCAUGUAGAGAGUCUGGGAUUAAGGGACGGGCAACUCCCUCUGUCCGCACUAGUGUGUUCUGGCCCACUGACCUCUCCCUUGGGGUUCCGAAAGUCCAAAAAACCUCUCAAUCACUAAAGUUCCUGCACGAUGGGGAUUCCAUGUGUAGAGAGCUCUAGGAAAGGAAAAGGGGCUGGAAGUUACAAUAAAUAUAGAUAUCUCUUGAUUUUAACCAUGGUUAGCAUUACGUUUAUAACAUAGCACUUGGUUAUGGAUUUAUCACUGGGGCUGUGUGUGUGUGUGUGUGUGUGUGUAGAGGACCUGAGUACUCUCUGUCUGUCCCCUCUAGGGACAAAUUGAUGUCGAGUUGUUCUCUCUGUCAGGAUUAAAUGUCUGUUUGCUUUUUGCUCACAUGCAGCUCGAUGAAUAAAAAAGCUCAUCUGACCAAAUCAAAAACUUGAUCCCUGUAUAAAAAGCGGGAUGGAAACAACUACUUCACCCGAUAAUGAAAACCUGUCAUCAUUUACUCAUCCUCAUAUUGUUCCAAUAUGUUCCAGUACGACCGAUUUUCUUCCAGGGAACACAAAAGCAGAAACUUUGAAGAAUUUUGCUGUUGCUCUUUUCCAAAUAAAUACAAUGAAUAGUCACUAGAGCUUUCAAACUUCAAAAAGGAAGAAAGAACACAGUACAAGUGAUUCUGUCACUGAACAGCACACUGGAGCGGAAGGUUUUUAAGGAAUAAUUACAUACAAUUUGGUCAGUUGACCCAAUAUCAAAUGUACUUAUCAUAUGAACCAUGUUUACUCUUUUUACAGUGUUUUUGUGUCCUUUAUAAAGCUUGAAAGGUAUGAAGGUGAGUAAAUGAUUCAUUUCAAUAUUUUCAUCCUCUGUCCUCAAACUGCAUGUUUUGCCAUUGUGAACUGGUAAAUGUAAAAUAUUAAAAUAUUUUAUUAUUUA